rnacentral:rRNA from 1 species
AGUGAACGCUGGCGGCAUGCCUAACACAUGCAAGUCGAACGGCAGCGCGGGCUUCGGCCUGGCGGCGAGUGGCGGACGGGUGAGGAAUGCAUCGGAAUCUGCCCAGUCGUGGGGGAUAACGUAGGGAAACUUACGCUAAUACCGCAUACGACCGAGAGGUGAAAGCGGGGGACCUUCGGGCCUCGCGCGAUUGGAUGAGCCGAUGCCGGAUUAGCUAGUUGGCGGGGUAAAGGCCCACCAAGGCGACGAUCCGUAGCUGGUCUGAGAGGAUGAUCAGCCACACUGGGACUGAGACACGGCCCAGACUCCUACGGGAGGCAGCAGUGGGGAAUAUUGGACAAUGGGCGCAAGCCUGAUCCAGCAAUGCCGCGUGGGUGAAGAAGGCCUUCGGGUUGUAAAGCCC